ensembl:lncRNA LINC02241 long intergenic non-protein coding RNA 2241
GAGCUGCCAUGUACUAGGCCACGUGGCAAGGGCCUGGUUGGGGACCUCCAGGGGUUGAGAGCAUCCUCUGGACAACAUGGAAAAAGAAAAUGAAAAUGGUGACCUCAGCCCUAUAGCUAGAAGGAAUUGAAUCCUGUCAACAACGAUACUCAUCACUCACUGCAGAUGUUACUUUAAGACAUUCUGGAGCAGCGUCAUGUGCAGGAACAAUAAGGAAGUGAGUGCUUUUGUAAUUCCUGAACAACUGUGUCUUACACUUACUAAGGGAUUCAUGGGCAAUAUGACUGAAUAGGAACAGCUCCAGUCUGAAGCUCCCAGUGAGACCAACAUAGAAGUGCCUUUCACCUCCUGCCAUGAUUCUGAGGCCUCCUCAGCCAUGUGGAACUAAAAACCUGGUGGUAUGGACUUCCAGCUCAAUAAUUCACUGUAAAGUUCUCUUGCCUGCCACCAUGUAAGAUAUGCUUUUACUCUUCCGCCUUCCACCGUGACUGUGAGGCCUCCCCAGCCAUGUGAAACUGCCUUUGAGCUUAUACUGAAUUAUACCACCAGCUUUCCUAGGUCUUGAAGCUUACAGACAGCAGAUCUUGGGACUUCUCAGGCACCAUAAUCAAUCAUAGAUAAAUGAUCCAAUGAUUCGGAACUUGAAAAGUGGUAGCUUUAUGAAUUCUCCUUAAGAAGAAACCUGUGCCCUGAUCUUGCCUACUCACCCAAAGGCACUGUGAGAAACACAGGAAAACCACAUUCCCAACACUUCUUUGAAGUCAGUUUGCAGGCCAUGCAACCAAGUUCUGGACAAUGGAAUAUAAAGAAAAGUGAAGCAAGUCACUUCCAGUUGGGCCUUUAGAAAAUUCUGUGUGCUACCUCCGUUCCCUUUCCCCCUUCAAAGCUUCCUUGGAAGCACUGAGUUAGAUGGUAAAGUUACAAGAAGGAAGAAGUCACAGAAUCAUCAUUUAAUGGAGAAAGCUGUGGAAAGCUGUGAAGUGAUCAACAAAUAAAACAUUAAUGAGCAAA